GAGACUCUGUGCGCGUGCAUAUCAAUAAGCGGAGGAAAAGAAACUAACAAGGAUUCCCCUAGUAACGGCGAGUGAAGCGGGAAGAGCUCAAAUUUGAAAUCUUAAAGGGUUUCCCUUUACGAAUUGUAGUUUAAAGAAGUGUUUUCUGUUGGAGUUUCGGUAAAAGUUCUUUGGAAUAGGACAUCAUAGAGGGUGAGAAUCCCGUAUUUGACCGUUACUUUCCAGCUGUGUGAUACACUUUCAAAGAGUCGGAUUGUUUGGGAAUGCAGUCCAAAAUGGGUGGUAAAUUUCAUCUAAAGCUAAAUAUUGGCGAGAGACCGAUAGCGAACAAGUACCGUGAGGGAAAGAUGAAAAGAACUUUGAAAAGAGAGUUAAACAGUACGUGAAAUUGUCAAAAGGGAAGCGUUUGACACCAGUGUUGUUUUUCCGAAAAUCAAUUACGAAUGUUUUGUUUUGAGUAAGUAUUGACUUAUCAGGCUUGCUUCUUUCUUUACGAAACUUAUUUAAUGCACUUUUCAGGUUAACAAGUCAACAUCAAUUUCUUUUGUUGUAAAAGGGUAAGAGGAAGGUGGCUUUCUCUUCGGCGCAAGUGUUUAUAGCCUUUUACCUCUGCAAUCGGAGAGAUUGAGGUCUGCAGCGUAGAUCCUUCGGGGUUAGAUACAUUGGUGCUAAGCUAUAGCCUUGUAUAGACAACUUGUUGACUAUGCUCAGUCAUGUAGCUUACUCGCUGAUGCUAUUUUACCUACGCUUAGGAUGUUGACAGCAGUAUAGACUGU
rnacentral:rRNA from 1 species